AAAUUGAAGAGUUUGAUCAUGGCUCAGAUUGAACGCUGGCGGCAGGCCUAACACAUGCAAGUCGAACGGUAGCACAGAGAGCUUGCUCUCGGGUGACGAGUGGCGGACGGGUGAGUAAUGUCUGGGAAACUGCCUGAUGGAGGGGGAUAACUACUGGAAACGGUGGCUAAUACCGCAUAACGUCGCAAGACCAAAGAGGGGGACCUUCGGGCCUCUUGCCAUCAGAUGUGCCCAGAUGGGAUUAGCUUGUUGGUGAGGUAACGGCUCACCAAGGCGACGAUCCCUAGCUGGUCUGAGAGGAUGACCAGCCACACUGGAACUGAGACACGGUCCAGACUCCUACGGGAGGCAGCAGUGGGGAAUAUUGCACAAUGGGCGCAAGCCUGAUGCAGCCAUGCCGCGUGUAUGAAGAAGGCCUUCGGGU
rnacentral:rRNA from 1 species